CUCAAAAGUUGCACUGAAAUUACAAUUAAAUACUUUGACAAUCUAAUAAAAUGGCAACGAUUUUUUAAAAUGAUAAUGCUGUUGCCAUUACAAGAAAUUAGUUCCGUACGUUCUCCACAUCUUUCAUCAGCCAACUUUAUGUCUACUGAGAGGCUCGGAGUCUACCCAUGGGCAGGGGUGACUAGGCCGUAAUCAACCACGCUAGCCCAGUGCGGGGUUAACAAAUUGAGAAAGGCCAAAUUCGAAAAGUGAAGAAUAAAAUUUAUGAUGCGGAAAUGAGGAAUGGAGUCGACGAGGGGUAUAGGUACUUUUUUAUACCACCGUUUAUCGACCAGUUUAAUAGCUUACUAAAGACGGGUUGAAUUAAAUACAUCCAUGUAUAUGCGUUGAUGUCAAAAAGUCGAAGGAAGUACAUUGUGACCUAUUGGGUAUUGGAGUGCCAUUAUAAUAUUUUGUAUGCAAAAAUACUUUGUACCUCCAUAUUUGAUGUAUAGUUUGGCAAAUCGGAAAUAUCAGAGAGUUUAAAUAAAUCUACUAAUCUUAAAGCACUGCAAAAACAAUCUUAGACCAACUAAAUUUUUGCUUACGACACGACAAAGGAAAUAGAGUUUAACAAAUCUAAAAUCAGUUCAAAUACGAUCAAUAAAUGCAAAAGUAUUUGACCUUUGAUUGUACAAAAGGUGGAAAACAGACGUUAAGGAGCAAAAAGGUGGAGUACCGAACGAAAAGGGUACGUCGAGAAAAUUGUGUAACAGCGCUCUCAAAGGUAUUCUUCCCCUUUUCGUCUAUAUCAAUUCUGAACGAAUUUCCCUCUGUUCGGCCAAAAUUGAGUUGUAAUAAGUUUCGCAUUGGUAAAGGAAAUAUAUUUUUUCAUUUAUUUAAUAGGAAAUUA